rnacentral:lncRNA from 1 species
CCGAGGGAGACGUGUCCUCCGACCCAGGCUGAAGUGGAGGCUCGUGAUGCUGGUGCCAAAGCUCCGGAGGGAUCUGGUGCCAAGGUUUCAGAGACGCCCGAGGCUUCUGCUCCUCCUCCGCCUCAGGUGUGAGGCUUUUUAGUUUUUAGGUUUUUCUUAGCCUUUUUUGCGUCCAAGCAUGUGACGCUUUUUUGUAAGUAAGGCCGGAGGUUUUGCUUUAAUUUGUAAAGACUGUUGAAAAUGUAAUAUAUUAAGUUGUUUUCAGAUAAGCCUUUGUUUUACACUUUGAUCCUGCGCAGGUCUCUGGCGGAGGACCUGCGCAGGAUCAUUUCAUUACUCCCCUUUCGAUUUUUUACAAAGGGAUUUAUGUUUCUGGCGAAUUGUGGGAGUACUGGCGAGUUGCCUUC